UGUUUGGGCUGGAAUAUCCUGGGGCUUCUCCUUCCUAAUUCUUUAGUGUCCUCGGAUCCUGCCCUCUGACCAGUGCUCGGAACUUCCCUUCAGAGUAGAAUCCUCUUUUUUUUUUUUGACUUUUACAAGCGGGGAAAAGACCUGCGCCCACUAGUUGUAAACACUGGGAGAACAAAAUAUUGUAUAUGUAGUACGGCUUAUUUUUCUGUAAAACCCUCGUUCCGCGGACUCCUAAUUGUAUUAAGAGCUUUUAUAUUUUGGUUUUUUGUAUUUUGACUACAUUGUGGUGCGGUAGUAGUGCCGGAAGGCCUAAUCCUGCAAUGAACCCUGCUAUUCACUGAGCACCUAGUACGUACUAAGUACCGUUCUGGGCGCCGGGAAAAUAACUGCCGUUGCAAUCUGAAGGAGCAGGAAAGUCUUAAUAAUAAUUACGUCUAGCUUUUUUUUUUUUUAAGUCGUUUUACAAAUUUCUCAACUUUCUUUGUGGGCGUAGUACAUUUCGGUUUACUGGAGUCUUGUUAAAUCUUUUGUUUACACCUACCAUAGCUACUAUAAUACAAGUCUGUUUUCUCAUUUCUUAACUUUUCAUAGGAUUAUCAUUCUCAGAAGGCAGGAAAUAUUUAUCUACUAACUACGCACAGCACCGCCUUUAGGAAAUGCUUUCUCAGCUGUAUACGCUGCAGACACUGCGUGCCCACCUCCUGCCACCCGCCCCACCCGUAUUUCUUUCUGACAGAGCUCAAAAUCUAGCUUUCUUUGGGGUGAAAUGUAACAUUUAAUAUAAAUUCUAGAUAAAGGAAACAACCCACUGAUUUGAAAACUGUCAGUAGACGACUGAGUUUCCGACCACAUGAUAAAAAGGCAUCACUGAUGAAAAGAGCCCAAAUAUUCAGCAUACCAAAGGAGAUGAUGCCUCCCUUAGGAAAAAUUGUGAAGCCCCCACAAUUGGGGUUGAAGCCCCUGCAACAACCAUGUCACCAGCUUAGGACUGAAAGAUAUACACUGGGGGCUUCCCUGGUGGCGCAGUGGU